UACGUAGGGUGCGAGCGUUGUCCGGAAUUACUGGGCGUAAAGAGCUCGUAGGUGGUUUGUCGCGUUGUUCGUGAAAUCUCACGGCUUAACUGUGAGCGUGCGGGCGAUACGUGCAGACUGGAGUACUGCAGGGGAGACUGGAAUUCCUGGUGUAGCGGUGGAAUGCGCAGAUAUCAGGAGGAACACCGGUGGCGAAGGCGGGUCUCUGGGCAGUAACUGACGCUGAGGAGCGAAAGCGUGGGGAGCAAACGGG
rnacentral:rRNA from 1 species